GGACCAUUAGUUCAGCGGUAGAGCAGUCGCCUCAUAAGCGAUUAGUCGGAGGUUCGAAUCCUCCAUGGUCCACCA
rnacentral:tRNA from 1 species